GCGUCACUAGUGUAAUGGCGUGGAGCAUUCCAGCCUGGUCAGCAGGAGGUGCGGGUUCGAGUCCCGCCCGGCGCU
rnacentral:tRNA from 1 species